GAGAUGAAGAGGAGAAGCAUGACGAUAGAUGAUGCGAUAGUUAUAAUGCCACCGGAGAGUGUGCGGCUGUAGAAAUCCUCAUUAAUUUUAGGAUAGGCGUCCAAAUUCCUAAGCUUGCCGAUUAUGCUCUCCAUCUAAGACAAUCUGGUUAUAGUUUCAACUUUUAUGGAGGCGGUAGCUGACUGUUGAGCGCUGACCUGCGCCUUUCUUAUUUCUUUUCCUUUCUGUUCUUUUCUUUUCUUUUCUUUUCUUUUCUUCCUUCUUCCAAUUGGAUUCGUUGCCUUGCCGGUGCAGAAUGGACUCUUCUGCGGUUGUAAUUUCGCUUUUAAGUAAGGGAUUGGGAGUGAAUGCUUGACUACGUGACCGAACCAAAUCAGAUUAAGUGAGUAAUUAC
rnacentral:misc_RNA from 1 species